GACGAACGCUGGCGGCGUGCUUAACACAUGCAAGUCGAACGGAAAGGCCCUGCUUUUGUGGGGUGCUCGAGUGGCGAACGGGUGAGUAACACGUGAGUAACCUGCCCUUGACUUUGGGAUAACUUCAGGAAACUGGGGCUAAUACCGGAUAGGAGCUCCUGCUGCAUGGUGGGGGUUGGUAAGUUUCGGCGGUUGGGGAUGGACUCGCGGCUUAUCAGCUUGUUGGUGGGGUAGUGGCUUACCAAGGCUUUGACGGGUAGCCGGCCUGAGAGGGUGACCGGCCACAUUGGGACUGGGAGACGGCCCAGGCGCAUCCGGGGGGCAGCAGUGGGGAAUAUUGCACAAUGGGCGGAAGCGUGAUGCAGCAACGCCGCGGGCGGAAUGACGGCCUUCGGGUUGUAAACCGCUUUCGCCUGUGACGAAGAGUGAGUGGCGGUAAUGGGAAAAGAAGCACCGGCGAACUACG
rnacentral:rRNA from 1 species